rnacentral:rRNA from 1 species
CUACGGAGGGUCCGAGCGUUAUCCGGAAUCAUUGGGUUUAAAGGGUCCGUAGGCGGGAAUCUAAGUCAGUGGUGAAAUCUUGCAGCUCAACUGUAAAAUUGCCAUUGAUACUGGAUUUCUUGAAUUAGUGUGAAGUGGUUAGAAUGUGUAGUGUAGCGGUGAAAUGCAUAGAUAUUACACAGAAUACCAAUUGCGAAGGCAGAUCACUAACACUAUAUUGACGCUGAGGGACGAAAGCGUGGGGAGCGAACAGGAUUAGAAACCCCGGUAGUCC